rnacentral:rRNA from 1 species
UACAGAGGUCUCAAGCGUUGUUCGGAUUCAUUGGGCGUAAAGGGUGCGUAGGCGGCGCGGUAAGUCGGGGUGUGAAAUCUCGGAGCUUAACUCCGAAACUGCAUUCGAUACUGCCGUGCUUGAGGACUGGAGAGGAGACUGGAAUUUACGGUGUAGCGGUGAAAUGCGUAGAUAUCGUAAGGAAGACCAGUGGCGAAGGCGGGUCUCGUGGGCCGAUACUGACGCUGAGGAGCGAAAGCGUGGGGAGCGAACAGG